CGGGUCGGGCGCGAUGGUCGCGGGGGGGCGCGAGCUCCUUCGAGGAAAGUCCGAGCUCCGAGGGUAGACUGCCAGGUAACGCCUGGGCGCCGAGAGGCGACGGAAAGGGCCACAGAAAACAGACCGCCCCGAGGCGGCCGCGAGGCCGGCGAAGGGUAAGGGUGAAACGGUGGGGUAAGAGCCCACCGCGCUCCUGGCAACAGCGAGCGGCACGGCAACCCCCAGUCGGAGCAAGGCCAAAUAGGCGGCGAGGUGCGACCCGCACCGACCAAUCCGGCGGAGCCGAAAGGCGCCCCGGAAGCCGCGGGUAGGCUGCUCGAGGUGGCCGGCGACGGCCAUAAACAGAACUCGGCUUACGGCCUGACCCGUGCC
rnacentral:RNase_P_RNA from 1 species